GUUUGAUCCUGGCUCAGGAUGAACGCUAGCUACAGGCUUAACACAUGCAAGUCGAGGGGAAACGAUAUUGAAAGCUUGCUUUCGAUAGGCGUCGACCGGCGCACGGGUGAGUAACGCGUAUCCAACCUGCCCAUAACUAAGGGAUAAUCCGUAGAAAUGCGGUCUAAUACCUUAUGUGAUCCGAGGAAGACAUCUGAUUUGGAUUAAAGAUUUAUCGGUUAUGGAUGGGGAUGCGUCUGAUUAGAUUGUUGGCGGGGCAACGGCCCACCAAGUCUGCGAUCAGUAGGGGUUCUGAGAGGAAGGUCCCCCACAUUGGAACUGAGACACGGUCCAAACUCCUACGGGAGGCAGCAGUGAGGAAUAUUGGUCAAUGGGCGGGAGCCUGAACCAGCCAAGUAGCGUGCAGGAUGACGGCCCUAUGGGUUGUAAACUGCUUUUGUAUGGGGAUAAAUUGCUCCACGUGUGGAGUAUUGCAGGUACCAUACGAAUAAGGACCGGCUAAUUCCGUGCCAGCAGCCGCGGUAAUACGGAAGGUCCGGGCGUUAUCCGGAUUUAUUGGGUUUAAAGGGAGCGUAGGCCGUGGAUUAAGUGUGUUGUGAAAUGUAGGCGCUCAACGUCUGACUUGCAGCGCAUACUGGNCCAUUAGAGUGCGCGCAACGNGGGCGGAAUUUGUCGUGUAGCGGNGAAAUGCUUAGAUAUGACGAAGAACCCCGAUUGCGAAGGCAGCUCGCGGGAGCGCAACUGACGCUGAAGCUUCGAAAGUGCGGG
rnacentral:rRNA from 1 species